CUCAACUAAUUCCACGAUAUACAUGUCACCUCCCACCAACAACAAAUACCAGUUAACUUUGUUGUUAAUGAGUUAAUGUGAUCAUCUUUGUUUCAUGUCAAUCAAUAGAAUCACUUUGACUUGUUUACUUUCCUUCAUAUUAGAGGAAAGCUUUUUUUUCUUUUCUAUUGCCCACAGGCCACAUGGUGAUCCAAAGAUGCGUACACCAAAAUGACCAUUUUAAACAUGGACUGUCAGUCCUCUACUUGACUAUUUAGGCAACAAUUUCAAUGCAAAAGUUUUUCUAUAGUAGUAAAAAUUGGCAAAUUAAUUAUCAACCGGAAAAUUGCAAUCAGUACAACUUUACGUGACAAGAUGAAAGCAGAAAAAAGAGGUGGAAUUUAGAGAUGAUAACUAAUUCAAAAAUUAGAACAUUUUGAUCUCACCUCGUACAGGAUAUAUUGAGUUGUAGUGAACCUCGGCCCAAAAGCUCAAGAAGAUAACUGCAACAAAGGGAGUUCAUAUACAAGAGUCAGGCCAACUUUGUUAAAACUGAAGAGAAACAACAAUGCGGACUGAUCUCAUAUGAACUCUCUUUCAUGAUUAUUUGACCAAGUAAUAAUGAUAAGGAUCACUCAGAGUUGUUUGAUAUAUUCCAAGAGAAAAGGAGAUCUCUCUUUUGAAUUGCACAACGGGAAUAAACAAAUUCACCUACCACCCGAAGGCGACCGAAAUGUAUCUGUUCUUCAUUAACAAGUUCAGAUACAAGUCUAGGAAUCUAGACUUAACCAUGAAGGUCAGUAGUACCACAACUCGUAUAUUUAGAACGUUGAUGCAGCUUAUAAGACAGCUCUGAAUUCAAGGCAAGACUAACAUCAGAGUUAAGGUCAACAUAACUAUUCAAUAUUUUCUACAAUUUAUGCACUCAAUAUAAAUAGUUGCUCCA